UGGAAUGUUAAGAAGUAUGUAA
rnacentral:ncRNA from 2 species